UGAGGAAUAUUGGGUCAAUGGGGCGAGAGCCUGAACCAGCCAAGUAGCGUGCAGGAUGACGGCCCUACGGGUUGUAAACUGCUUUUGCGGGAGAAUAAAGGUGGCCACGCGUGGCCAUUUGCAGGUAUCCCGUGAAUAAGGACCGGCUAAUUCCGUGCCAGCAGCCGCGGUAAUACGGAAGGUCCGGGCGUUAUCCGGAUUUAUUGGGUUUAAAGGGAGCGUAGGCCGGAGAUUUAAGCGUGUUGUGAAAUGUAGACGCUCAACGUCUGCACUGCAGCGCGAACUGGUUUCCUUGAGUACGCACAAAGUGGGCGGAAUUCG
rnacentral:rRNA from 1 species